rnacentral:rRNA from 1 species
AGACAGAGGAGGCAAGCGUUGUUCGGAAUUACUGGGCUUAAAGCGGGUGUAGGCGGCCCGGCAAGUGCUCUGUGAAAUCCCUCGGCUCAACCGAGGAACUGCAGGGCAAACUGCUGGGCUUGAGGUCGGCAGAGGUGCCUGGAACUCUCGGUGGAGCGGUGAAAUGCGUAGAUAUCGAGAGGAACGCCAGAGGCGAAAGCGGCUUUCUGGAUCGCAACUGACGCUGAGGCGCGAAAGCUAGGGGAGCAAACAGGAUUAGAUACCCCGGUAGUCC